UUUUCUUCUCUGUUGAAGUAGAAUUGGAGAGUAUUGCAAUCAACUAAUGAAUAAGGAGAAAAAUACAAAAUUCCCAUUCAAGAACCAUCCUGGAUAGAUAUGGACUUUGGCUGAGAAAAGAAUGGCAGUGAGUGAAAAUAGACUUGACACCUGGACAGAUGUAGCUUCAGCUGUUGAGAGUGCUAUUAAACAGUGCUACGUGACUGCUUGAAGAACUGCAGCCAAAGUAGAACUACUUACAAGCCUGGAUUAUGCAAUACACACUGAAAGGUCAUAUGUUUGACGCUUCACCUACGUUUCUCAAGAAUAAAAAUGCACAAAUAAGCAAGUGAUCAAGAGCAGCAUUGGGAGCAGGAUAUCCAGCUGCUCUUUUUGGUCAAAAUUGGUAUGUAGCCUGUGGCAUCUACAGAAGAAGAGAAAAUAAACCUCAUGUCAAAAAUAAACUGAUAACGUCACGUAAACGGAAUCCUGAAUUGUUCCCUUUAACAUGAUACAAUUAAUAAACUGUUAACUAAAACCA